rnacentral:rRNA from 1 species
ACAGGUGGUGACAUNGUUGGUCGUCAGCUCGUGUCGUGAGAUGUUGGGUUAAGUCNNGACAACGAGCACAACCCUUGGCAUUAGUUGCUACGCAAGAGCACUCUAANGAGACCNCUACNGACAAGNUGGAGGAAGGUGGGGAUGACNGUCNAAUCNUCAUGCCCCUUAUGACCUGGGCUACACANGUAAUACAAUGNCCGUCAACAGGAGGGAAGCGAAACCGCGAGGCGGAGCANAACCCUAAAAACGGUCUCAGUUCANANAGCAGGCUGCAACCCGCCUGCAUGAAGGUGGAAUUGCUAGUAAUCGCGGAUCAGCAUGCCGNCGGUGAAUACGUUCCCGGGCCUUGUUCACACCGCCCGUCACACCAUGGGAGUUUGUAACACCCGAAGUCCAUAGCCUAACCGCAAGGAGGACAGUGGCCGAAGGUGGGAUAUAGCGACUGGGGUGAAGUCGUAACAAGGUANCCGUAUNGGAAGGUGCGGCUGGAUCACCUCCU